GAACGGAGGGGCGUUAGGGAAUUGCAAGGCAUUUGCUCACUCAUUGCUGACUGGCAGAGCGGUCAAGCACGGUCAACUCCCCUCACACCAUGCCGAGGCCUUCAGCGGUCAACCGACAAAGGGCUGGCAAUAACUCGUGACAACUUGAGGCAACGCAAGCUCGUGUAGAUAAGCUGAGGUGUUGCUGUGGUGGAUGAUGCAACUGACAAUAAGAAGACGAAGACUGCACGUCCACAUCUAGGUGGACAUCGGUCGCCUGAGGACAAGACUUUUGGGAGGAUUUACCUCGGCGUAAACACGCAGCAGUGAAGAAUGACGCACUGAAUCCGCCGGCUACAUGGAAUAUCAGAUGCCCAGUGGACCCCAAGUACGAACACGUUCAUAACAAUGUCCAUGAGGAUUUCACAUUAAAAUCUGUCAGGACCGUGGCACCACAGGUGCAUAUAUCCUUGUACAAUUACUAGAAAUAGCUUGGAUUUAAAUACUAGUUUAUAAAAUCUAUACUUGUACUAUCUAUGUAACUUUUGUGCCACAAUAUUUAGAUGUAAAUUUUGCUCAUAUGUGGUAAGACAAGAAAAGCAAUGCAGAAGUCUGGAAGGGAAUGUGGCUGGCGAUUGUUGUAGAUAUAAUCAGGCAAAAAUGGCUGCUCUCGGUUGGAUGUGUAAAGGAUGGGGGAGGCGAACUGCCGAGACUGGCAUUUGAACGGUCUUCAAGGCCCGAUCUUGGAGGUCGUAGGUCUACUCUGUAGCAGCUGUAGAAUCUGGUUUCGGGGGUAGAAAGAAUUGGCGAGGCGUAGUGGUUUGAAUGGCUCUAGCCAUGAUGACACCUUGAUCUUUGAAAGUGGUUCUCUAUGAUACUGUGGCAGAAAAUAUUGAAUCCAGGAUACUGGAGUUUUUAUUUCUUCACUUGUCUCUUUUCUUGCGGAGAUUUAUGUAAUGGAGUUAUUGGCCAUCACAGAGUUUGUUGUCUUCAUUGAAGUUCUAAAUCACAGAGGUGUUAUUACUGCAGUAACAGUCCCUGGAUAUUUUUGCAUGCUUCAUAUUUCAAAUUAAAAAGUAUUGGUCGAUAAGAUGAAUUCCUCAAAAUGUCUAAGUGUUCUUUCCUCAGAUUAGCAUUAGUUAAUGCACAUCUCCAUUGGUGGCCCUGGGCUAGAGAUGAAAAUUCCACAUUUUUGUUUGAAGGAAUAGUUUUCCACAGGAUAACCUAGGUUGAUAAUAAUAAUCAAAAAAUAAAUAUGUAAUAAAUAGUAUGCAACAUUACAUGUAUUUGAUUGGAUAGCACUUAAUGUGUUUUACUCGUUAAAUAUGUACUGUGGAUAAUCCCUUGAGGAGGAGCAUCUCUCAUUUGCCAAGGUGUCCAGGGUGUCAAUUGGCACAAAACAUAGCAGAGCACUCGACUCACAAUUAUAACGUUAUGAGUUUCAUUCAGUCAGGGGUCAAAUUAGCCAUCAUUCUUGCAGAGUUGAUAACAAUGAAUAGUUGUGAGGAAAUGUGUUCUGAUGGAUAGACUGUGCCCUGCUAUAGGAAUGCAGAAUUUAAAACAAACCACCAACAGACAUGAGCACUGUCCUAAUCCUUCUGUCCAUAGGUCCAUUUUCACACCAUCAUAAUAGAUCCUCAACAGAAUAAGCACCAUCACAUUUCAACCUCGUAAUUUAGUCACAACACGUAUGUGAGUGACUGAGUGUGCUUGCUUUGUGUGUGACACAUGCCAAAUUGAAAGCAGAUACAAUGAGACGGUUGCAGGCAGGUGUGUGUGGUCCUCACAUAGAUAGAGAAGAACAAACAUUUAUUUACGAUGAAGAACCAUCUCCCGAGGACAUGUAGUAUUAAAUACCUUUAAGAUUCAGCCCUCUGUCAAUCGCAGUCCCUCUUGUUAUUAAUUUUUUUUUUCCCUACAGCACUGUAAUUGAAAAAAAUAAUAAAAAUAUAAAUGUGUUGCAAGCGUAUGCUGGCACCCUUGCUGAUACAGUUUGGGCCUGGCCAUGACCCAGGGGUUGUGAGUGCCAGGCCAUGGCGAUCUAGCCAAGUGUGCUCCGAGGCCAGGAGAGAGAUCACGAAGUCCCACUGCACACACAAAUACCAGAGUUUUAACUUGAAUACCACAGGGCACACCUGAUAUUCAAUGUAUCACUUUAAACGUUCAAAAUGUCAACUUGCUCAACUGAGUUUGGAGUAGCACUAAUCUCCCACUUCAGCAAAAAAAAAUUCUUGCUGUGGGUUUCCCACCUGAUGAUGAUUGCUUGUGAUGCAAUCGAAACGUCGUGAUUUAUUUUAUUUUAUACCUACGUGACUUUACCGAAAGAACCAGAGUAUAGCACUAAUCUGUUUGUAGCUCCAAACCAGUGAAUAAUGUUUCACACUCCUACUGUGGGGAUCAUUCCAUCCAUAGGGCACAACUCCAGACUUCUCAUGAGGUUGGAGUAAUUUUAACAACCACAGAUAAUUAUGGGAUGGCUUCCCUCCUAUCUGGAAUCUUAACCCGCAACUUUAAAUUGUGAGUCUAGCUCGAAACUAAAACUGCUACUCUGCUGACUGUGAAUACGCAUGCUAUCCUAUAAAAUUAAACUUUAUGAGUACACCCAAGUUCUCAAACAUUACAAUUUGUCCCACGUCUAUAAUGAUAUCGGCCAGGUGGGUCGGUGGUAGAGUGAGCGAUUCACAAUCAGAGAGGUUGCGAGUUCAAAUUAUGGUUGGUGGUUGACUCAGCCCAUCAUCCGUCCUUGAGUUUCAAAAUGAGUCCCACUUCGUGAAAAUGUCAACAGUAGUUGUCCUAUGGAUAUACUUGACCCUACAAUAGGAAUGCAGAAUUUCCACGACUGGCUCAGGGCUGUAAACGAGAGAUGAGUACCGCUUCGAAGCUCUUUUGAGUAAGAAAUCACUUUAGCUUUUAACAAUUACAUCACUUUCACAUUUUCUAUCACAGCACCUGGAGAUUAGCAUGCUCUCAUUUUUGUUAUCAUCAUCAUCAAAAGUUCCUUUACUCCAAACUCUCUGUUGCCUCCCCAUUCCAUUUCUCUCCACAACAAGUUCCCCACUCUCCCUUCUCUCAGUCUCAACCCAGCAGGCAGCAUGCCAAUACUUGUUGCGACACCUCAUCACGACCGUAUAUCACAAUGAAUACAAAAAUGGACUUUGCCAUAGGACAUAAUGCAAACAACAUGUUGAAAAUUCCCUCACUGCAAAAAUAUAUUUGUAACAGUACGCCUUAUCGGCAUUAUUUUAGGUUCAUAGGCUAUAUAUAUAUUUAUUUACAUACAACAAGGCCAAAUGGGAACAUAAUUAUAAAGAUGUGCACUCUGCGUAUCACUAAAAAUGCAGCAGAGUAGAUACAAAUGUUUAGCCUGUAUGCACAGCAAUUAACAAUGUUGUCAACUUAUAAAGUGAGACCAAUCAAACUAAAAUAGUGCGUUUUUUUAAAUUGCCAAUAAAACAAGAAGCAUGGAACCCACAUUUUAACAUAUUGCUGUAAAUUAAACGUUAAAAGUUGAUAACGCGAGAGGUCAAUUCACAAGGGCCUUUCUAUUUGGUCCUUGUGAAAAGUGUCACUCUCAAUAAACCAAGUACCACUUUGUGGAAAGUCAAGAGUAGUUGUACAAUGGACAGAAUCAGCAAAUAUAAAUCUAGAAACCCCACUUAUGACUCAAGGCUAUCGAGGGGAGAUAUUUAAUAGCGAACAUUUGACUUGCUUAUGGAAUGUGUGGUAACAGAGUGCUCCAGCUAAAGGUAUCACUUGAAAAGCAAAUCCACAUUUUGAUUAAAUAAGAGGACUUGUAUAUUACAUUAAAUCACAACAUUAAAUACAUGAUUCAGCAGCACGUUUAGUUGGGCCUAGUUCUACAGUUUAUUGAGGGCUUAUGUUUUUGGGGGUUUUCUAAAUUAAGUGUUUUCUUAAAUCUUGACUUAAAGCUUUCGUGGCUGCAGGAAUUCAUAUUCUUGGGUCUUGCGGUAAGUCACUUAGAUAGGUUCAAAUAAAAUAACAAAAAAC